rnacentral:rRNA from 1 species
UGCAUAUCAAUAAGCGGAGGAAAAGAAACCAACAGGGAUUGCCCCAGUAACGGCGAGUGAAGCGGCAACAGCUCAAAUUUGAAAUCUGGCACCCCCCGCGGGGCCCGAGUUGUAAUUUGCAGAGGAUGUCCUGGGCGAGGCGCCUUCCGAGUUCCCUGGAACGGGACGCCACAGAGGGUGAGAGCCCCGUCCGGUCGGCCGCCGAGCCCGCGUAGGACUCCCUCGACGAGUCGAGUAGUUUGGGAAUGCUGCUCUAAAUGGGAGGUAUAUGUCUUCUAAAGCUAAAUACCGGCCAGAGACCGAUAGCGCACAAGUAGAGUGAUCGAAAGAUGAAAAGCACUUUGAAAAGAGAGUUAAACAGCACGUGAAAUUGUUGAAGGGGAAGCGCUCGCGACCAGACGCGGGCGCGGCGCAUCAGCCGGCGUUCUCGCCGGUGCACUGCGCCGCGCCCGGGCCAGCAUCGGCGCGCCGCGGGGGACAAAGGCGCCGGGAACGUGGCUCCCCCGGGAGUGUUAUAGCCCGGCGCGCAAUGCCCCGCGGCGGGCCGAGGUACGCGCGUC